rnacentral:lncRNA from 1 species
UCCCCUUUAGCUGUGUUCAGUAUUCUGCUAGGAAGGUGCAGAAUUGCUUCUCAUUACUCAGUUUUGCUUUUCCUCUUAUCCCAAGGCAGAUUAUUUGUUUCCAAGACGGCAUUAAUCACCAAGUGUCACUGAGAAAGUGAGGAGGAAAACACAAUUACAGUUUUGGCCAGAAAGAAGCAUUAGGAACAGCAUUGCAAGAGAUCUUCCAAAACAUGCAAAGCUUUCUAUGAAUUGAGAAAUUAAGAUAAUGGGGUUACAGAAAUAAAUCUGGUGCCAGUGUUUUAGCCUGACAAGAAAUAAACCUUUGACUCUUCAGGAUAUGCCUCCAAAGCAUCCAGUGCUGGGAGAAAAUAUGGAACACUUGAAGCCCCACUGACUGCAUAUGAGAAGAUAGCAAAGAAGCAACCACCAUGUUCCUUAAGAAAAUGCUAUUAUUAAACACAGCCACUUUUUCCUUUAGAAGAAGAUCCACAAGUCCCAAGAAAGACAGUAUGCAACUUGCAUGCAGCUAUGACAGAUUGCUGUUGGUUGAAGAGAGGCGGCUCAGGGAAUUCGGCUUGUCAGACUGAAGGGAAAAAAAGUCCUGCGGAGCUGAGAAAGUGAACGAUGUAUGAGCCCGAUGGUGCUGUGUAAUGAAAAUACAGCCUUACGCCGCAGCUACAAAACAAAAAAGGACUGAAUCACCCUCUGCAUCCCGCAAAAAGGACCUCCAGCGUGCCUUCCCCGGGCAGCCCUGACUUCCAGCUCCGUCUGCUGCCAGGCAGCUUUCUCCCGGGCACCUUCCCCUAAAAUCUGAAAACUCCCGGCAGUGCUGGUGCG